CUCAACUCCUGUUUCAGUGUUUAACGUUUAACCGUCCGUCGAGAAUUUUUUUAUUAGUAAUUUUAUUAUUGUUAGAUGAUAAAAUAUAAAUAAUACUUUAUAUAUGAUUUAUCUUUUUAAAUUUUUUUAUAACUUUUUCAAAUAAAACGAACGGACAAACGUUAGAUACGAAAACUCAGGAAUUGAGUUUUU
rnacentral:pre_miRNA from 1 species